rnacentral:rRNA from 1 species
GAUGAACGCUGGCGGCGUGCUUAACACAUGCAAGUCGAACGGAAAGGCCCAAGCUUGCUUGGGUACUCGAGUGGCGAACGGGUGAGUAACACGUGGGUGAUCUGCCCUGCACUUCGGGAUAAGCCUGGGAAACUGGGUCUAAUACCGGAUAGGACCACAUUUUGGAUGGUGUGGUGGAAAGUUUUUCGGUGUGGGAUGAGCUCGCGGCCUAUCAGCUUGUUGGUGGGGUAAUGGCCAACCAAGGCGUCGACGGGUAGCCGGCCUGAGAGGGUGUACGGCCACAUUGGGACUGAGAUACGGCCCAGACUCCUACGGGAGGCAGCAGUGGGGAAUAUUGCACAAUGGGCGCAAGCCUGAUGCAGCGACGCCGCGUGGGGGAUGACGGCCUUCGGGUUGUAAACUCCUUUCGCUAGGGACGAAGCGUUAUGUGACGGUACCUGGAGAAGAAGCACCGGCUAACUACGUG